rnacentral:rRNA from 1 species
UUUAUCGGAGAGUUUGAUCCUGGCUCAGGACGAACGCUGGCGGCGUGCCUAAUACAUGCAAGUCGAGCGGACAGAUGGGAGCUUGCUCCCUGAUGUUAGCGGCGGACGGGUGAGUAACACGUGGGUAACCUGCCUGUAAGACUGGGAUAACUCCGGGAAACCGGGGCUAAUACCGGAUGGUUGUUUGAA